CUGACUCAGGACGAACGCUGGCGGCGUGCUUAACACAUGCAAGUCGAACGGGGAUUAAGUUGGAAAGGCUUCGGCCCGGAAGAUUAAUUCGAGUGGCGGACGGGUGAGUAACGCGUGAGCAACCUGUCCCAGACGGGGGGAUAACACUUGGAAACAGGUGCUAAUACCGCAUAAGACCACGGCAUCACAUGGUGCAGGGGUAAAAGGAGCAAUCCGGUUUGGGGUGGGCUCGCGUCCGAUUAGAUAGUUGGUGAGGUAACGGCCCACCAAGUCAACGAUCGGUAGCCGACCUGAGAGGGUGAUCGGCCACAUUGGAACUGAGAGACGGUCCAAACUCCUACGGGAGGCAGCAGUGGGGAAUAUUGGGCAAUGGGCGAAAGCCUGAACCCCCAGCAGCGCCGCGUGAGUGAAGAAGGCCUUCGGGUUGUAAAGCUCUGUUAUGUGGGACGAAGGAAGUGACGGUACCACAUAAGGAAGCCCCGGCUAACUACGUGCCAGCCGCUGC
rnacentral:rRNA from 1 species